rnacentral:tRNA from 1 species
ACCUAGUUGGCUCAGUCAGUAGAGCAUGUGAUUCUUGAUCUCAUGUUUAUGAGUUCAAGUUCUACAUUAGGCA